rnacentral:snRNA from 1 species
GGAUGUGAGGGGGAUCUGGCUGCGACAUCUGCCACCCACUAAUCGCCAGGGCCGAUCUGGCUGGCUAGGCGGGUGUCCCCUUCCUCUCUCGCCGCUGGUUCAUGAGGACGGCCUUCCCCGAGUAGAGACGACCGGGCCCUCGGUCGAGGGUGUCGGAGUAGCCGCACUGCCCUGCUGAGAGACAAGCUUUCAGGGUGCAUAGAAAUGAACUUAGCCCGCAGACAGAGGAGGCAGGAUGAGACUUGAGGGUCACGGUCGGCUCUCAGGCUCU